rnacentral:rRNA from 1 species
AACGAACGCUGGCGGCAUGCCUAACACAUGCAAGUCGAACGAGAUCUUCGGGUCUAGUGGCGCACGGGUGCGUAACGCGUGGGAAUCUGCCCUUUGGUUCGGAAUAACAGUUGGAAACGACUGCUAAUACCGGAUGAUGACGAAAGUCCAAAGAUUCAUCGCCAGAGGAUGAGCCCGCGUAGGAUUAGCUAGUUGGUGUGGUAAAGGCGCACCAAGGCGACGAUCCUUAGCUGGUCUGAGAGGAUGAUCAGCCACACUGGGACUGAGACACGGCACAGACUCCUACGGGUGGCAGCAGUGGGGAAUAUUGGACAAUGGGCGAAAGCCUGAUCCAGCAAUGCCGCGUGAGUGAUGAAGGCCUUAGGGUUGUAAAGCUCUUUUACCCGGGAUGAUAAUGACAGUACCGGGAGAAUAAGCUCCGGCUAACUCCGUGCCAGCCGCCGCCGUAA